CUCUAUUGCCAUCUACCAGAAAGUAAACAUAAAAGCUUACGAUGACUACCAUGUGAUUAAAUGUUGACAUUAGAUGUUGUACCCUUGACAGCAUACAACUUGCACACCAUGCAUGGUGACCCUAGGCUCACACAUCGUAUACAAGAAACACACGAUUUGCCUAGAUGAACUUUGGAAAUGAAGGCUGAUUCCAACACAGAAGCGAACUCUUCUUUAUCCAGCUUUCAUCAGUUAGGAGGAUUGCCUUCUCUCAGAGUAGUCUUCUUGAAGCUCUCUCUUGCCCUCAUGAGAUGACACUAAGGAUCAUGUGAAAGCUCUCCCUGAGGAAAGAUUAAGAAGAGAUGAGUUAAAGCUGCAAAUACCAAGAUUUAAGGUUAAGUAUGAAGAAUUUCCUGAUACAGAAACUUCUUUAGCACUGGACUUGAAUAUCAAGACUCUUUCCCCAACAUUGACCUCCAAACAAACUUUGCUGGGUUGUUCAAACCGCUUUGUUUCCUGUAAGUGUUCAUUGAUCUCUGUGAGUGGAUGAUGGUUGAUUACACACUUUGUCCGUGAUUAAACUAGGAAACUUCUUUUCAAAAGAUUCAGUAUAAUUUCUCUUUCCAUGGAUAUAUGCAAUUAUAUAGUGAUUUUAACCUAUAUAGACCAAGAUAAUUUUGUGAUCCAAAUGGUCAGGUGUCAUAUUUAAAAAAUAUAUGCAUAUAGUUUAAAGCAAUUAAAUAUCCUUACUCGGUUUCUUAGGCGGAUAUGUAAGAGUAGCAGCUGGUCCUGAGGGUCCAUCUUCUAUGGCUCUUUCACGUGUCUGUGUGUUUUGUGAAGCAAAGCAUCGACUUCCCCUUGUUCUAAACUAUCUUUUGAACGAUGCUUGUAUAGUAUAAUUAACAGCUUUGGACAAUAGAGAUUGUAUCUCCCUCUGGAACAGGGGUGUCUGAUCUUUUGGCUUCCCUGGGCCACAUUGGAAGAAGAAUUGUCUUGUGCCACAUAUAAAACAUACUCACUAUAGCUGAUGAGCUAAAAAAAAAAUCGCAAAAAACCCUUAUAAUGUUUUAAGAAAGUUUACCAAUUUGUGUUGGGUUGCAUUCAAAGCCAUUCUAGUCCACGUGCAGCCCGUGGGCUGCAGGUUGGACAAGCUUGCUCUAAAACAAAGGGCAGAUUUUCUUAUUGUUUUGUGUGGUAGGCAGUAUAAUGGCUCCCCGAAGAUGUCCAGAGCUUAAUCCCAGGAACCUGUGAAUAUGUUACCUUGCAUAACAAAUGAAAAUUUAUGUUACAGAUGAAAUUAAGAACGCUGAUCAGCUAAAGGACCUUCACAUACAAAGGUUAUCCUGGGUUAUUCAGGUGGGCUCAGUGUAAUCACAGGCAUCCUUUAAAGUGGAAGAGUGAGUUCAGCGUGAUGUGAUGUGAAAAGGACUCAAUUUGCCUUUGCUAGUUUUGAAGAUGGAAGAAUGGGGCUAUGGUCCAAGGCAUGCUGGUGACCUCUAGAAGCUAAAACAUUAACAAAAUGGAAAAGAAAUUUUAGUGCAGUGAGGCCC
rnacentral:lncRNA from 1 species